AUUGAACGCUGGCGGCAGGCCUAACACAUGCAAGUCGAACGAGUGGCGGACGGGUGUGUAAUGGCUGGGACACCGCCCGAUGGAGGGGGAUAAAUACUGGAAACGGUAGCUAAUACCGCAUACCAUCGGAUGUGCCCAGAUGGGAUUAGCUAGUAGGUGGGGUAACGGCUCACCUAGGCGACGAUCCCUAGCUGGUCUGAGAGGAUGACCGGCCACACUGGAACUGAGACACGGUCCAGACUCCUACGUGAGGCAGCAGUGGGGAAUAUUGCACAAUGGGCGCAAGCCUGAUGCAGCCAUGCCGCGUGUAUGAAGAUGGCCUUCGGGUUGUAAAGUACUUUCAGCGAGGAGGCGUUACGCGCAGAAGAAGCACCGGCUAACUCCGUGCCAGCAGCCGCGGUAAUUC
rnacentral:rRNA from 1 species